UAGCGAGGUGGGUGUUCGUGCCAGACGUUCACGUGUUUCUCCAUGGUUAUCUCAUUAAUUAUUAAUGUGAACACUCAUCCUAAGUACUGACAUAACCUAUCCGUUACCCGAAAUUGUCCUGAAAAGACGAAUCCCUCUUCACAAUUUCGACCCUGGACCAAAUGUGUACGCGGCAAGUGUAACCGCUUUAAAUCUGACCCUUCGCGAAUUUCCUCGAUCAAAAUGAUAGUGGAAUGAUAUGCAAGAGAAUCAAGAUACGGGUUAGGAUUACGAUAAAAAAAAAACGUGUCUGACGUGUCGUAAAUUAUCAGCCCGAUAAACCAUAAGCUUUCUUAUAUGAUCGAUUUAUCGAACUUUUUUUCGAGUAUAAUAAAAAUGUGUCAUAUUUGAUAUCCAUGGUCCGAAAUCAAAGUACGAUUGAUAAGAUGUGUAAUUUUUAAAGGAGCAAUAUAAAAUUUAUAAAAUGGAAAUAAUGUGAAAUACAAAAUUAAAUUGAAAUUGCUCUCUACAUGGUCCACCGUGGGGUUAAUAACACGUCCGAGGGUUAAUGAAGGGUUAGGAUAACCUUGUGAGGUUUACUUACCUCAGAGUCAAAAUAUAAUUAAAAAAUUUCAAAUUUCUACCGAAAAUAGUAGACUUCCCUACGGGAAAUAGCGAUAUAGAGAAAAAAAGAUUUCAACGCUUAUUACAAUACUGAAGAAUACUUCUAAACUUAACACAGCACGAGAGCAUUUGUCCCGGGCCUCUCGUGGAAACUUCCGCAUUUUUUGUCAGAAUUAAUUAAAUUAUAUAUCAAUGUUGAUUUUUGUAUCAGUACUCACUUGAAAUGAGUUAAAACAUAAAUAAUGUACAUAGUAAUAUAUACAAAUCAAAUCAAGAUUAAAUGAAAU